rnacentral:tRNA from 3 species
CGGGCUGUAGCGCAGCUUGGUAGCGCGCCUCGUUCGGGACGAGGAGGCCGCGAGUUCAAAUCUCGCCAGCCCGACAA